UUACGGCCAUAUCACUUUGAAACACCGGUUCUCGUACGAUUACCGAAGUUAAGCAACGUCGAGCCUGGUCAGUACCAAGAUGGGUGACAGAUUGAGAACACCCGGAGCU
rnacentral:rRNA from 1 species